UUAACACAUGCAAGUCGAACGAGAAUCUGCGGAUCGAGGAUUCGUCCAAGUGAAGUAGAGGACAGUGGCGGACGGGUGAGUAACGCGUGAGGAACCUGCCUUUCAGAGGGGGGCAACAGUUGGAAACGACUGCUAAUACCGCAUGACACAUUGGGGUCGCAUGGCCCUGAUGUCAAAGAUUUAUCGCUGAAAGAUGGCCUCGCGUCUGAUUAGCUAGUUGGUGAGGUAACGGCCCACCAAGGCGACGAUCAGUAGCCGGACUGAGAGGUUGACCGGCCACAUUGGGACUGAGAUACGGCCCAGACUCCUACGGGAGGCAGCAGUGGGGAAUAUUGGGCAAUGGGCGCAAGCCUGACCCAGCAACGCCGCGUGAAGGAAGAAGGCUUUCGGGUUGUAAACUUCUUUUGUCAGGGACGAGUAGAAGACGGUACCUGACGAAUAAGCCACGGCUAACUACGUGCCAGCAGCCGCGGUAAUACGUAGGUGGCAAGCGUUGUCCGGAUUUACUGGGUGUAAAGGGCGUGUAGCCGGGAAGGCAAGUCAGAUGUGAAAUCCACGGGCUCAACUCGUGAACUGCAUUUGAAACUGUUUUUCUUGAGUAUCGGAGAGGCAAUCGGAAUUCCUAGUGUAGCGGUGAAAUGCGUAGAUAUUAGGAGGAACACCAGUGGCGAAGGCGGAUUGCUGGACG
rnacentral:rRNA from 1 species